UUUUGUUUCGGAGUUUAGUUGGUAAUGUGGCAGUGUGGAGCUAGGGAGGGGUGACUCGGUGGUUGUUUUAGAUGUGGAUAUACAAACAGACGGGCAUAUAUACUGUAUAUAUGCAUAAAACAACAUUACAGUAACCUAGCUGCUGCGGUGAAAGAGCAGAUAUUCACAGCUGACAGUUGGUGUGUGUUCAUCGGGGAGUACAGAGGAGCAUGGAUCCAUAAAGAUGUUGGAAUUAAUCGCCGCAGAAGAUUUUUUCCUUUAAGAUAUUUAUUUAAUUUAUUUAGUAUAUUUUUUGUACUUUAUAUUUUGUACCAUCAUUUCGGCCGGGUGCCGAUAUUCAGGGACUGUGAGGAUGGAUCAAGCGAAUAUUUUGAGGAAGUUCAUUCAGGGGGUUCACGCCAUGCGAUCAGGGGAACAGAGAGGAGAGGAUAACUUCGGCUCGGACUUCAUGAGAUUACGCAGAUUAUCAACCAAAUACAAGACGGAAAAAAUCUAUCCCACUAAUGUUGGUGAAAGAGAAGAAAAUGUGAAGAAGAACAGAUAUAAAGACAUCCUGCCAUUUGACCACAGUCGAGUGAAAGUGACAUUAAAAACAUCCAAUCUGGACACGGAUUACAUCAACGCAAACUUCAUUAAGGGAGUGGAUGGACCUGAGGCCUACAUUGCCACCCAGGGACCGUUGCCCAACACUGUCCUCGACUUCUGGAGGAUGAUCUGGGAAUACCAUGUAGCAGUCAUCAUUAUGGCAUGUCGGGAGUUUGAAAUGGGCAGGAAAAAAUGUGAGCGGUACUAUCCCCAGUUUGGAGACGAGCCCAUGUCCUUUGGCCCUUUCAGGAUCUCGUUUGAAUCUGAACAAACACGAAUUGACUACUACAUUCGCAGCCUAACAGUCGAGUUUGACAACGAGUCUCGUAGAUUAACCCAAUUCCAUUACAUCAAUUGGCCAGACCAUGAUGUUCCAUCAUCGUUUGACUCGAUACUGGACAUGAUUGCACUGAUGAGGCAGUACCAGGAGCACGAUGAUGUUCCUAUUUGCGUACACUGCAGUGCUGGAUGUGGGAGAACAGGUGCCAUUUGUGCCAUUGACUAUACAUGGAACCUACUAAAAACUGGGAGAAUUCCUGAGGAUUUUAAUGUCUUUCAGUUAAUUCAGGAGAUGAGGACGCAGAGACACUCAGCAGUUCAGACAAAGGAGCAGUAUGAGUUAGUUCAUAGAGCUAUCGCCCAACUCUUCGAGAAGCAGCUGUUGCUGUUGGAGAGUCCUACGAAUUCAGAGCUAACAGAUGGCAUGGACGAAGGCAGCCCGGAAAAACCCAGCCAGAAUUCAGAUGAGGACCAAUGGGACAUGCCUCCACCCAAACCACCACGCAUUCGGAGUUCUCAGGUCGAGGGCGAGGUCCAAGAGGAAAUCCUGCAGGCCCCUCAGCCUCGGCCAGUGCCCCCCAUCCUCACGCCAUCACCACCUUCAGCAUUCCCCACGGUGAGCGAUGUGCGCCAGGAGAAUGAUCGCUACCACCCCAAACCCGUGCUGCAUUUGCUGGCAUCUGAACACGAACCUGACCUCAAUGAGAACUACACUGGAGGCCCCCAGGGUGUGUCCACCAUGCCUGCCUCUGUGCCUGCUCCUUCCCCUCCAGAGUCCAAUAAACACACCCCUCUGACUGUGGAGAUCAAGAAAGUGCCCUUGCAGGAGGGACCACGAAGCUUUGAGAGCAGUGGAGCGCUGCAACGAACACAUGCUUUUAAAGUGCGCACCAAUAACAGCUCUCUGUCACAUGAUUCGGAAAACCCGCCCCGCCCUGACCACUUGCCCCUGCGCGCCAACAAAGGGCAGGUGGUUUGGACACGCUCUGCAAAUUCCACACCCGGCUCCAGCGUUCCUUCUGGCCCUGCUCUUGAGGGUGCGGGUGCACCCAGGACCGCGCUGAGCUUCACCAACCCUCUGCACUCCGACAACUCGGACCCAGAGCCCGAGGAAGGAGAGGAUUCCCUGUCCAUUUCCCAUCACACUGAUUCCCAGUCUAGCGUGUCCACAGCGACUGGCAAAGUUUCAGCAGCACCUCAUGAUGACGGCGUCCCCAGGAAGGUUACCUCAAUGUCCAUAGCUGGUGUUUGCUCAAAGGCAGACGCAGAGACAGAAAUCACACGGAAUAGUGCCAACUUCCGAGUCCAGCUGAUAACAGUGAUGCCUUCAUCUUGCCUUGGACCUCAUCACAUCCUAUUUUAGACAGCCGUCUGCUGGACCGAACUGAGCCAAGUCACAGAUACACUAUAUUGCCAAAAGUAUUCGCUCACCCAUCCAAAUAAUCAGAAUCAGGUGUUCCAAUCACUUCCAUGGCCACAGGUGUAUAAAAUCAAGCACCUAGGCAUGCAGACUGUUUUUACAAACAUUUGUGAAAGAAUGGGUCGCUCUCAAGAGCUCAGUGAAUUCCAGCGUGGAACUGUGAUAGGAUGCCACCUGUGCAACAAAUCCAGUCGUGAAAUUUCCUCGCUCCUAAAUAUUCCACAGUCAACUGUCAGCUGUAUUAUAAGAACGUGGAAGUGUUUGGGAACGACAGCAACUCAGCCACAAAGUGGUAGGCCACGUAAACUGACGGAGCGGGGUCAGCGGAUGCUGAGGCGCAUAGUGCGAAGAGGUCGCCAACUUUCUGCAGAGUCAAUUGCUACAGACCUCCAAACUUCAUGUGGCCUUCAGAUUAGCUCAAGAACAGUGCGCAGAGAGCUUCAUGGAAUGGGUUUCCAUGGCCGAGCAGCUGCAUCCAAGCCAUACAUCACCAAGUGCAAUGCAAAGCGUCGGAUGCAGUGGUGUAAAGCACGCCGCUACUGGACUCUAGAGCAGUGGAGACGUGUUCUCUGGAGUGACGAAUCGCGCUUCUCCAUCUGGCAAUCUGAUGGACGAGUCUGGGUUUGGCGGUUGCCAGGAGAACGGUUCUUGUCUGACUGCAUUGUGCCAAGUGUAAAGUUUGGUGGAGGGGGGAUUAUGGUGUGGGGUUGUUUUUCAGGAGCUGGGCUUGGCCCCUUAGUUCCAGUGAAAGAAACUCUGAAUGCUUCAGCAUACCAAGACAUUUUGGACAAUUCCAUGCUCCCAACUUUGUGGGAACAGUUUGGAGCUGGCCCCUUCCUCUUCCAACAUGACUGUGCACCAGUGCACAAAGCAAGGUCCAUAAAGACAUGGAUGACAGAGUCUGGUGUGGAUGAACUUGACUGGCCUGCACAAAGUCCUGACCUCAACCCGAUAGAACACCUUUGGGAUGAAUUAGAGCGGAGACUGAGAGCCAGACCUUCUUGUCCAACAUCAGCGUGUGACCUCACAAAUGCGCUUCUGGAAGAAUGGUCAAAAAUUCCCAUAAACACACUCCUAAACCUUGUGGACAGCCUUCCCAGAAGAGUUGAAGCUGUUAUAGCUGCAAAGGGUGGACCGACGUCAUAUUGAACUCUAUGGAUUAGGAAUGGGAUGUCACUUAAGUUCAUAUGCGAGUCAAGGCAUGUGAGGGAAUACUUUUGGCAAUAUAGUGUAUUUAAUGAGACAGAAGUGUUUGACGUGCCCAAGCCGUCUCCUCAUCACUGAGAAAUGUGUUGAUGUUUCAGAGCUGAUUGAUUUCCUGUUGUGUGUAUAUUUAUGGAUGGUAAUAGAGUGCUCAGAGUAACGCAGAGCAUGAGUAUCUAGCGGUCUGUCCUCACCUGAAUGACGCUGUAGAGCUUUGUACUCGCUUGAUGCUCACCGUUUUGUUUUUUGUUUUUUUCCCCAAAUCUGCUGGUGUCAGACAUGAUCCUGCUCUGCUUUUGUUUGGAAAAAAAAAGGCUGCUCUUUUCUCCAUGUUCUGUGCAACUGAGAACUCAGAUUUUAUGAGACAUGAUUUAGGGCUGAUGUUGGAACUGAUUGACUGCAUGUGCCGUGGCUGUUGGUUUCUGGGCUGAUGAUGAAAUGACAGGAAGUCGGGGUUCAUCCUCCCGUGAUUAUAACUCUGCUUACAUUGCAUCCAGCUUGUUGAGGGGCUAACCUGUUUCACAGCAGAUAUUUGGAGCCUUUGUGCUCUGUAAUAUUUGAGAUAAUAACCUUUAAAUAAACAAGACACCAUUAAGGCGCAAUUAACACACUUUUAUUUUAACUCCGAUAUUUAAUUUCAAUUUCUGUAUCUCUGAGGAAACAUUGCCUGAUCAGUUAAUUUUAUAUGUGUAAAAUAAUAUGUAUUUGUUUGGCAUUGCUUGUUAAAAUGAAACCUUGUUAUAAAAUCACUUUCCUAGACAUUUAGUUUGAAAUUGAAUUCAUGUGAAGAGAUGAAACUUCAUUAUCAAAAGAAAGAAAAUUUGCCCACUGAUACUGAUUGUCAGCAUCCUACUCUGUGGCGUUCUGAACCACACAGUGCUUCUGUGGCGAGAUUCGAACACUGGGGAACCCCUGCCUUUGUGUUAGUGACUUUACUAGUGUUUUUUUCUUUAGUGUUGCCUUCUCCUUUACUGGGAGACGCAGUAACUCAGAAAACAGUGUUUGAAGGUGAAAUAGAGAGUAAAUAAAGUUAAUUGUAUUGCACAGUACAGGACUGUGGCGAUUCCUCUUUCAGAACCUCUAUUCAGGCAAUGUAUUUCCAGCGAUACACACGUUUCAUGUCGGAUUAUCCAGACAUUGAUCAUGAAAUUGGUUAUUUAUUUAUUUAUUUUUAAUUUAUUAUAAUCCAGCUUCUGCAUUUGAGCCCUGUUUGUGCAGCUGGGCUUUUUUUUUUUGGGCGGGUUUUUAGUCAGCGGCUGGGCUGCGUGUGGUUCUGCGGGGCUUCUUUUCCUAACGCAAAGCACUCUAAAGGGGUGUGAAUGUGUGAGCUUUCGGUAACCGUGAUCUUGUGUGCUCCAGACAGUGACGAGAGUGAAGACUCGCCUCCCCCUCUUCCUGAAAGAACUCUUGAGUCCUUCUUUUUGGCCACAGAUCCAGUGGAUGUACAGGUGGAGCUGAAUGAAUGUACAGGAGCUUUAGGGGAUUCCUCGCUCCAG